rnacentral:rRNA from 1 species
AGCUCAAAUUUGAAAUCUGGCGUCCUCAGGGCGUCCGAGUUGUAAUCUAUAGAGGCGUUUUCCGUGCCGGACCGUGUCCAAGUUCCUUGGAACAGGAUAUCAAAGAGGGUGACAAUCCCGUACUUGACACGACGACCGGUGCUCUGUGAUACGUCUUCUACGAGUCGAGUUGUUUGGGAAUGCAGCUCAAAAUGGGUGGUGAGUUCCAUCUAAAGCUAAAUAUUGGCGAGAGACCGAUAGCGAACAAGUACCGUGAGGGAAAGAUGAAAAGCACUUUGGAAAGAGAGUUAAACAGUACGUGAAAUUGUUGAAAGGGAAACGAUUGAAGUCAGUCGUGACCGAGAGGCUCAGCCGGUUCUGCCGGUGUAUUCCCCUCGGUCGGGUCAACAUCAGUUUUGUCCGGUGGAUAAGGGCGGUAGGAAGGUGGCACCCUCGGGUGUGUUAUAGCCUGCCGUCGCAUACAUCGGGUGAGACUGAGGAACGCAGCUCGCCUUUAUGGCCGGGGUUCGCCCACGUCCGAGCUUAGGAUGUUGACAUAAUGGCUUUAAACGACCCGUCUUGA